AUUUGUUGUACUUGCCGUAUAUGUCGAUGACAUAAACCUUAUUGGAACCCCCAUAAAACUCCAAAAGGCAAUUGAUUAUCUAAAGAAUGAAUUCGAGAUGAAAGAUCUCGGAAAGACAAAAUUAUGUCUUGGUUUGCAAAUUGAAUAUCGAAAUUUGUUGUACUUGCCGUAUAUGUUGAUGACAUAAACCUUAUUGGAACUCCCAUAAAACUCCAAAAGGCAAUAGAUUAUUUAAAGAAGGAAUUCG
rnacentral:lncRNA from 1 species